rnacentral:ncRNA from 2 species
UUCUUAUCAAGAGAAGUGGAGGGAACUGGCCCUAUGAAGCUUCAGCAACCAGCCAAACGUUUGGCCAGGUGCUAAAUCCAGCGAAUUGAAUUUUUUCAAUUCGGCAGAUAAGAA